CGUGGGUAACCUGCCCUUUGGUGGGGAAUAACUCCGCGAAAGCGGAGCUAAUUCCGCAUAAGAUCCGCAAGGAUGAAAGCCGCAAGGCGCCGAAGGAGGGGCCCGCACCCGAUUAGCUAGUUGGUGAGGUAAUGGCUCACCAAGGCUUUGAUCGGUAGCUGGUCUGAGAGGAUGAUCAGCCACACUGGAACUGAGACACGGCCCAGACUCCUACGGGAGGCAGCAGUGGGGAAUUGUUCGCAAUGGGCGCAAGCCUGACGACGCAACGCCGCGUGGAGGAUGAAGAUCUUCGGGUCGUAAACUCCUUUCGAUCGAGAAGAAUUCCUUCCGGGUGAACAAUCCGGGAGGUUGACGGUACCGAGAGAAGAAGCCCCGGCUAACUCCGUGCCAGCAGCCGCGGUAAUACGGGGGGGGCAAGCGUUGUUCGGAAUUACUGGGCGUAAAGGGCUCGUAGGCGGCCAACUAAGUCAGACGUGAAAUCCCUCGGCUUAACCGGGGAACUGCGUCUGAUACUGGAUGGCUAGAGUGUGGGAGAGGGAUGCGGAAUUCCAGGUGUAGCGGUGAAAUGCGUAGAUAUCUGGAGGAACACCGGUGGC
rnacentral:rRNA from 1 species